rnacentral:rRNA from 1 species
AGCGAACGCUGGCGGCAGGCUUAACACAUGCAAGUCGAGCGGGCACUUUCGGGUGUCAGCGGCGGACGGGUGAGUAACGCGUGGGAACGUGCCCUCUGGUUCGGAAUAACUCAGGGAAACUUGAGCUGAUACCGGAUACGCCCUUUUGGGGAAAGGCUUGCUGCCGGAGGAUCGGCCCGCGUCUGAUUAGCUAGUUGGUGAGGUAACGGCUCACCAAGGCGACGAUCAGUAGCUGGUCUGAGAGGAUGAUCAGCCACACUGGGACUGAGACACGGCCCAGACUCCUACGGGAGGCAGCAGUGGGGAAUAUUGGACAAUGGGCGCAAGCCUGAUCCAGCCAUGCCGCGUGAGUGAUGAAGGCCUUAGGGUUGUAAAGCUCUUUUAUCCGGGACGAUAAUGACGGUACCGGAGGAAUAAGCCCCGGCUAACUUCGUG